rnacentral:rRNA from 1 species
GUCUUUUUGAUUUAUAUUUAUUUAAAGUCUAAUCUGCUCACUGAAUUAAAAUUUAAAGAGCCGCAGUAUUUUAACUGUGCAAAGGUAGCAUAAUAAUUUGUUUUUUAAUUGAAAACUAGAAUGAAUGAUUGAACGAGAUAUAUUCUGUCUCAAUUUUAAUUUAAUAUAAAUUAAUUUUUUAGUUAAAAAGCUAAAAUUAGUUUAAAAGACGAGAAGACCCUAUAGAUUUUUAUAUAAUUAUUUAUUAAUUUAUAUAUAUGUAUAUAAUAUUUAUAUUUAUAGGUAAUUAUAUUUUAUUGGGGUAAUAAAAAAAUAAAAUUAACUUUUAUAAAAUAAAAACAUAAAUUAAUGAAAAUUUGAUCCAAAUUUAAUGAUUAAAAGAUUAAAUUACCUUAGGGAUAACAGCGUAAUUUUAAUUUUAAGUUCUUAUUGAAAUUAAAGAUUGCGACCUCGAUGUUGGAUUAAGAAAAAUUUUAAAAGAAGAUUUUUAAAUUUUAGGUCUGUUCGACCUUUAAAAUCUU